AAUGGAGGUGUCAGGGGUUCAGGGAGAGAGGCACAGGGUAGGCAGGAGAUGGAGAGCGAUGGGGAGGAAUUCCAAGCCAGCGAGGAAGAGGAUGACAAUGACUCAAGAGAUUCCAUGAGUCUUUCCAGCGAAUCAGAGGAUUCCCAGAAGGGGGCGCCGGUGGUCAAGGCCAGGGGAGCCCCAGGGGGGACGUGUCAGGAGCAGGGUGCCAGCGGAGGAUCCCAAAGUGGCAGCUGGGCGUCAGGACCAGCCUCCCCACCAGAGUGCAGCGAAGGGGGUGGAGUUUCCAGUGUGUCAGAGGAAGCAGCUCCGGCAGCAGAGAAAGGAGGGGGUCAGAGCAAGCCGCCCUCCCGGAAGGGGAAGGGAGCAGUGAAGGGAGUAGUGUAACUGUCAAAAGGAAAGUUAGAGGUUUGGCGCGCGCGCCUAGUUCAAAUGUAGAGGCGCGCGGAAGUACAGGGAGCCCGGAGGAGGGGCCAGGUCCCAAAGCCAGCAGGAGGGGGAAGAGCAGUCUGAUUCCGCGUCAGAGGAAUCCAGGAGGGGCGAAACCCCAGCGGGCAGAAGGACCCUGCGGAAAAGGAAGGAGAGAAAGAGGUGGAGCAGCGCAAGUCUCUUAAAUUGGUGCAGGGGAGGGACUGACUCAGAGGGGACUUCAGCGGUCUAAGCGUAAGAGACGUAAGGCUGCGCGCCUAGGAUGUCAAGCAAACAAAUGAACUGCAAUAAACACCUUUGUAUAUAAGAAGACAUAGGCGUUGGUCUUUUGUGAGCUGAGACUUGAGGCAGCCUUGACA